rnacentral:rRNA from 1 species
ACGGAACUCUUCGGAGUUCAGUGGCGGACGGGUGAGUAACGCGUGAGAAUCUGCCUAGAGGAUGGGGACAACCACGGGAAACUGUGGCUAAUACCCAAUGAGCGGAGACGUUAAAGAUUUAUCGCCUCUAGAGGAGCUCGCGUCUGAUUAGCUAGUUGGUGGGGUAAAAGCCUACCAAGGCGACGAUCGGUAGCUGGUCUGAGAGGACAACCAGCCACACUGGGACUGAGACACGGCCCAGACUCCUACGGGAGGCAGCAGUGGGGAAUUUUCCGCAAUGGGCGAAAGCCUGACGGAGCAAUACCGCGUGAGGGAGGAAGGCUCUUGGGUCGUAAACCUCUUUUCUCAGGGAAGAAGAAAGUGACGGUACCUGAGGAAUCAGCCUCGGCUAACUCCGUGCCAGCAGCCGCGGUAAUACGGAGGAGGCAAGCGUUAUCCGGAAUUAUUGGGCGUAAAGCGUCCGUAGGUGGCUCUUCAAGUCUGCUGUCAAAGAGUGGGGCUUAACUCCAGAAAGGCAGUGGAAACUGAAAGGCUAGAGAGCCGUAGGGGUAGAGGGAAUUCCCGGUGUAGCGGUGAAAUGCGUAGAGAUCGGGAAGAACAUCGGUGGCGAAAGCGCUCUACUGGACGGUAUCUGACACUGAGGGACGAAAGCUAGGGGAGCGAAUGGGAUUAGAUACCCCAGUAGUCCUAGCCGUAAACGAUGGAUACUAG